AGUGAACGCUGGCGGCAGGCCUAACACAUGCAAGUCGAACGGCAGCACAGAGGAGCUUGCUCCUUGGGUGGCGAGUGGCGGACGGGUGAGGAAUACGUCGGAAUCUGCCUAUUUGUGGGGGAUAACGUAGGGAAACUUACGCUAAUACCGCAUACGACCUACGGGUGAAAGCGGAGGACCUUCGGGCUUCGCGCAGAUAGAUGAGCCGACGUCGGAUUAGCUAGUUGGCGGGGUAAAGGCCCACCAAGGCGACGAUCCGUAGCUGGUCUGAGAGGAUGAUCAGCCACACUGGAACUGAGACAACGGUCCAGACUCCUACGGGAGGCAGCAGUGGGGAAUAUUGGACAAUGGGCGCAAGCCUGAUCCAGCCAUGCCGCGUGUGUGAAGAAGGCC
rnacentral:rRNA from 1 species